ACAAACACCCGCGCUUCCUUGUAAAAGUUCCUUAACCCUAGCCGCCUUUAUCCUCUCCGAGCCUCUCCCAGAUCCCAUCCCCAAUCCGUCCUUCUCAGCCUCCACCUCUCCCCCCUCCUCAGAUUCGCCGAUAUGUGCGAGGUCGCAUCAACGGAGGAGGGUGCCGCCGUAUGAGUCCUUGAUGACGCCGUCGCCUAGUACUCGCUGGACGUCACGCACCUAGUUCGCGGGAGCCCUGCAAGUCCCAGAUGCGUGCCAUCCAAGAGGAAACCGCAGCUCUAAUCCGAAGUUCAUGGACGGCACCGCUGCUGCUUCCGCUUGCACUCUUCACCGCUAGAUCUCCUCUCUUCCCCGCAGCAAGUAAGUUGUUGCUGGCAAGGGAAUGUGGCGUUGGUACUAUGAACGAAUCUGGUGCAGAGGCUGUAAGCAGUGCAAGCAACAUCGGUAUGUUAGGUUGCUAGCCUGCUACACUAUGGUAGUACUAUUGAACACUGGAUGUUUGGGACGACACUACAUGUUAUUGGAUAAUGUUUAUGCCUACUUCUUUACUGUUUUCACAUUCAUGUGUAUUUUGGAUUAUUAGUACUGUAUAUGAUAUGAUUUAUAAUUGUAUAUUGCAAGGUGGAAGGAGAGAUAUAUAUUGUGGAACUAAGGAUGAGGAUAUUUUAAUCCGUCAUCAUUCAUCCAUGAAAAAGGGGGAGUCAGGGAGGCACUAGGUCCAUUGGUAACACAUUUUAAAAUUAUUUGUCUUUAGUGCUAGUACUACUGUAGCUAUGGCGAUACUUUACAUGUCAAAAGCUACACAAUUAUGUUCUUGAGGGUUAAAUUAAUCACAUGAUGGCAGUUAGGAAAAAUGUCUGAAGCAAGCAUAAAACCAAGCAGGGAUGGGGUGAUGGGGUGGAUAGAUUCCCUGCUUUCUUUCUCCUACAUAUAUCCUUGUUGUGAAGAUUUGUUGACUGGUACCUUGAUAUGCAAUAACAAAUGUGUUUGAUUCUUUCUCAUUUGAUUUAGGAGUUACUCUUUGGAACACAAUGGAUCUCAAACUUUUGAAUUAGACUCCCAAGAGAGGGUAUGCCAGUUAAGUUGUGUCCUCUGUUGCCAUGUUGUAGCUAAAAGUUCGUACCUACUUGUUCCUUCUGGCUGUGUUCAGAACCUGUCAGUUCACCUGAUUUUAAAUUUCUAUCAAUCGCGGUGCUACAAUGGUGAGCAUUUAGCUACUAGGUGACUUCAGUUUAGUACACUUACAAAAAUACAUACAUGUAAGCUACAGAUUGCUGGUUCUAGUUUUUGUUUAGAGCUAUAACGAUCAGCAGAGAAGUACAAAAUUGCGGGUUCCCUGUACAAAUAAUAAUUUGUAGUAGUAAUCAGAAUAUUGGCACAUAUCUUAUUUGUUUGCAAGUUUGCUGAAAACUACUGUCAUACAUGUAUGCAUGUCAGUAUCUGCAAUCUGUAUAUUAUGUGACCCAGCUGUUUUUCCAAAAUAAAUUGUUAUCGUGUAUGCAUGUCAAUAUCUGCAAGUUGUAGCUUAUGCCCCCCCUGGUUUUUGUGACUAUGGAUUACUCAUCUCAAAUAGAAAUCAUAGCUUGAUAAAAGAGGAAAAGAUGCAAAUCAGGUAAUAGCUAGAGAUCAGUUCUUGUGUACGUUAACAUUUGUACAAUCAUAGCUUGACUAUUAAAACCUGGCCUUUUUUCUUGCAUACAACUGAAAUUACUUUUGGCUGCCAACAGAGCCAUUCUUGUAUGUAAUUUGUUUCUUUAUUUACAAAUGAUGUGUUUUAUGUUACUGUUCUAUCAAAUGUAAUGUUGGUCAAGUAUGUAGAGGUUGUAUCAGAUUUUACUAAUUGAAUAGUAACAUGAGCAUAAGAUAUCAUACAAUAUAUAUGGCUUAGUUGAUAUUGGAGUAUCCACUUGUGUUGACAUUUGCUAAAAUAACUUUUUCUUUGUCUUAUGGAGCAACAUAGAAUCAGCUAAUCCCUUAUGUAGACUUGGUACACAGAUCUGAGGUAGAAAGGUUGGUUGUGGGAACUAUUCAGCCUGCCCGUCAAGAAAUUCUAUAGGCAUGCUUGCAUUACUCGGUUGAACAUGAAAUGCUGUAGGAGUGAAUAGAUGACUUUUCUGUUUGCACUGUCCUACUGCUAUAUGCAUUUGUUCAGUUAUUUCAGUUCAUCCCCUUUCAGUUCAUACUUUUUAGACUGCUAGUACUUUGUGGAAUAAUAAACAUCUCCCAAUGGAUUACGUGUUCCAUUAAUCAUUUUGCAGAUCAGCUGAUAAUGGAUUCUGUGUCUAGUUCCAUUCCUUUGAGUGGCAGGAGAUGCAAAUCAAGCAGUUAUUGCAUUGCAAGGAAGGACAUGCAUCCAUAAGGCGCUUCAAAUGAAGAUGGUUGUUUCUUAAUGGAUGAAGUUCUGUGUCAUUGGAGAUAUCAGACAUCAUUUUGUAAAGUCGGAUGUAUGUUUGUGUCUUUGCUAAAAAAUACAAUUCUUAGUACACUUAGCCACCUUUAAUCUCAGAGCAUUCUAGAUGGUAAAGGUGUUGUGAAAAAAAUUUGUAUGUGUGGCAGUAAUAUGUGACGUUAUCA